UUCUACACCUAAAAAUUAUCUUAAUCCAACAUCGAGGUCGCAAUCUCUUUUAUCGAUAUGUUCUCUUUAAAAAUAUUACGCUGUUAUCCCUUAAGUAACUUAAUCUUUUAAUCAUUAUAUAAUGGAUCAACUCAUUUAUCAAUGAAUAAAAGUUUAUUAAAUUUUCUUAUCACCCCAAUAAAAUAUUAUAUAAAGCUUUAAAGGGUCUUCUCGUCCUUUAAUAAAAUUUAAGCUUUUUAACUUAAAAAUUAAAUUCAAAAACAUUUAAAAUAAGACAGUUAAUAUUUCAUCCAAUCAUUCAUACCAGCUCCUAAUUAAGAAACUAUUGAUUAUGCUACCUUUGCACAGUCAAAAUACUGCGGCCUUUU
rnacentral:rRNA from 1 species